UUUGGUUUCUUUUGGUUUCUUUUUAGGUUUCUUUUGGUUUCUUUUGGUUUCUAUGACUCUGCCAGAGCUGGUGGAAUUUUAGGGUUCGACCCCGAACCCUAAACCCCCAAAAACCACAUUGGUCUACCCAAAAAAUGGCCGAUCGGUAGCGACCCGAGAAGGUACUUUUCAAGCGGUUCGGUGCGAUGAAUCCGGAGUAAUCGGGUACGAUCCGCCGUCAUGUUGAAAAAUAGCGGCUGUAAUGGUGCGAAAAUUAAAUAACAACUUUACAAGUAAUUCUUUCUUCAAAAAAAUCAAAAGGAAGGGAAAGCUAUAUGACAGCGAAAAACACCGUACGAAUUCAUCGGGACAGCAAAGGCCAAUUUCAGCCCGAAAGAGUAGAGUAUAAGAUAAGAGUAUUUCAGAUGAAAGUAUAGUAGGCAUCACAAUUGAGUUGGAUGAAACUGUUGAAAAAGGUGUCAAAAGUGAUUCUAGAAUGGAUUCCUCCACACCUAAAGGUAUUUUAUUUUCUGAUUCCAAAACCAGUGUUUAGUUUAAAAUUUAAAACAGGUUCAUCGACAUCUGUGGAUUGUGAGAGUGAACUCGCUGUAAGUCACUGUACAAAGAUUAAGAAAAAAAGUAUUGGGUUUGGUCACACUUUGAUCAAAUGAGGAACUCAAAUUCAAGCAGAUGCAACUCUUGCCAGAGUAUUUUGUCAUCAGUGGAAUUGGCCCCAUGUGUAAGCACUGUCCCGUACUAGUGAAAGCCAAUCAAAGCAUUUUGGCUUAAUAGCAAGAGAAGAAUCAUCAAGCCAUAAUAGAUUAGAAUUCUAGUUUCCUAUACUCAUGGCAGCCAACUCUAUUGACCCAAUGUGCAAAAUGCAAUAUUUUAUCUGUAAUGGAUGGAGUUGUGGAGGUGGGAUGACAGCACAUCUAUGACGGACACCCUCUCGUUCUUGGAAGGAGUAAGACUCAUCCCAGCAGGUUGUCAGCUUUCAGCUAGUGAAUACUACUGUUAUUAGAAGCGAAAAUUAUGGGAAUGUAUACAAAAAUAACACUGAUACAAAAUAAAAAAUUGAUAAUGAUUAAA